CUGAAGGCAGCCGAGGCAAGGCGAGGGACGUGCAAAUCCCAGCUGUAGCUCCCACCCGGUUUGCGGCGCUUGACUGAAAAAGCGGAUUUCCAGGAGCUGGAGGUGACUUCAGUGCAAGGCUCUUUCCUAAUACCAUAGAGGUGCCCCGGGAGCACAGAUGGUAUUUUCACCACUUGUUCGCCUCUGAGCGUGGCAACUGACCUCUCAGGAAUCCUUGAUGUGCUAGGAAUGUAACUCCGUUAAGGAAGAAAACUCCAGGCUUUUUAAGUCAAGCAAAAUGUCAGACGUGGAUUGUGCUCUUGGGGGAGGGCAGGCAAGGUGUUUUUUCUAAAUAACCCUCCCCUGGCCUCCCCAGGAUGGUGAAACUUCAGAGCUGGCUCUAGAAUAAAUGAUUCAAAGGAACUUGA